GAUGAAGAACGUAGCGAAAUGCGAUAAGUAAUGUGAAUUGCAGAAUUCAGUGAAUCAUCGAAUCUUUGAACACACAUUGCGCCCGCCAGUAUUCUGGCGGGCAUGCCUGUUCGAGCGUCAUUUCAACCAUCAAGCCCCCGGCUUGUGUUGGGGACCUGCGGCUGCCGCAGGCCCUGAAAACCAGUGGCGGGCUCGCUAGUCACUCCGAGCGUAGUAAUACAUCUCGCUCAGGGCGUGCUGCGGGUUCCGGCCGUUAAAAAGCCUUAUUUACCCAAGGUUGACCUCGGAUCAGGUAGGAAGACCCGCUGAACUUAAGCAUAUCAAUAAGCGGAGGA
rnacentral:misc_RNA from 1 species